GUGUGUGUAUGUGUGUGUAUGUGUAUAUAUAUAUAUAUAUAUACACACACACACACACACACAUACAU